AGAGAGAAAGAGCAAGAGAGGACGGAGAAGGAGCUAUCGGCGAGAGGGUGAUCGGAGGAGUUUUUGUCACAUGCAAUCUUGGUUUCUGGCAUAGGUUUUGAUAUUUGUAUAAGUCCACUGAGGAGACAGCUCAAGAAUAAGAAGGUCAGGUUUGAUUUAGAGGGAAGUCGACAAGUAAAGGUGAGAAGCUCUAAGGGAAAGAAAGCUGUAUAAGAAGAAAAUAGGCUGGUUCAAGAGUAGGGAUGCCUACUAUAUUCUGUCUAUAUGUAGUAGAAUAUUUUAACAAGUUAAUAUUUAUACUUUUAUAUACGAUAUGUGGCAAGUAACUAUUACUUGCUUUAUAUAAAUAUUAUUUGUAUCCUCCAUGAGGAGGAGUGCACUGCCAGGCACAGGUAAGUGCCAACAACUGAAAUGGCUGUAUAUUAUAACAUAAUAUUAGUGAUUUCAUGGUUUGGAAUUA